rnacentral:tRNA from 16 species
GCCCCAGUAGCUCAGGGGAUAGAGCACAGCUCUCCUAAAGCUGGUGUCGCAGGUUCGAAUCCUGCCUGGGGCA